rnacentral:rRNA from 1 species
GGAGGAAAAGAAACCAACAGGGAUUGCCCCAGUAACGGCGAGUGAAGCGGCAACAGCUCAAAUUUGAAAUCUGGCCCCCGGGGCCCGAGUUGUAAUUUGCAGAGGAUGCUUUUGGCGCGGUGCCUUCCGAGUUCCCUGGAACGGGACGCCACAGAGGGUGAGAGCCCCGUCUGGUCGGACACCAAGCCAGUGUAAAGCUCCUUCGACGAGUCGAGUAGUUUGGGAAUGCUGCUCUAAAUGGGAGGUAUAUGUCUUCUAAAGCUAAAUACCGGCCAGAGACCGAUAGCGCACAAGUAGAGUGAUCGAAAGAUGAAAAGCACUUUGAAAAGAGGGUUAAACAGUACGUGAAAUUGUUGAAAGGGAAGCGUUUGUGACCAGACUUGGGCCCGGCGAAUCAUCCAGCGUUCUCGCUGGUGCACUUCGCCGGGCUCAGGCCAGCAUCAGUUCGCCGCGGGGGACAAAAGCUUCGGGAACGUGGCUCCCUCGGGAGUGUUAUAGCCCGUUGCACAAUACCCUGGGGCGGACUGAGGUUCGCGCUCCGCAAGGAUGCUGGCGUAAUGGUCACCAGCGACCCGUCUUGAAACACGGACCAAGGAGUCGUCUUCGUAUGCGAGUGUUCGGGUGUCAAACCCCUACGCGUAAUGAAAGUGAACGCAGGUGAGAGCUUCGGCGCAUCAUCGACCGAUCCUGAUGUUCUCGGAUGGAUUUGAGUAAGAGCAUACGGGGCCGGACCCGAAAGAAGGUGAACUAUGCCUGUGUAGGGUGAAGCCAGAGGAAACUCUGGUGGAGGCUCGCAGCGGUUCUGACGUGCAAAUCGAUCGUCAAACAUGGGCAUGGGGGCGAAAGACUAAUCGAAC